rnacentral:siRNA from 1 species
AUCGAGUGAAGGUGAUGAAGGUAC